GCACACAAUAAAUAAAAAAAAACAUACGUCAAUGACGUACAGUUUGCAACGUGCACUAUCUUAUCUACCAUUAUAGUUUAAUCGAUCGAGUAGAGUAGCUAGGCAGGCGUGCAAGUGCAGCAGCAUGUGUGCCCUUUCCUUCUUCCAAUCCAAACGUGACCAGUCUACUUCCAUCUUGGAAAAUCUUAUUGUGGCAGUGGUGGCUUGAAAGGAACCGGGUUAGAGAACGGCAACGGACUUGGCUUACAUUGUG
rnacentral:lncRNA from 1 species